rnacentral:tRNA from 2 species
GCUGAUUUAGCUCAGUUGGCAGAGCAAUUGAUUCGUAAUCAAUGGGUCAGGGGUUCAAUCCCUCUAAUCAGCACCA